UACGGAGGGUGCGAGCGUUGUCCGGAAUCACUGGGCGUAAAGAGCUCGUAGGCGGCUUGUCGCGUCGACUGUGAAAACCCGCGGCUCAACCGCGGCCUGCAGUCGAUACGAGCAAACUAGAGUGUUGCAGGGGAGACUGGAAUUCCUGGUGUAGCGGUGAAAUGCGUAGAUAUCAGGAGGAACACCUGUGGCGAAAGCGGCUCACUGGACCAUAACUGACGCUGGAUGCACGAAAGCCUAGGGGAGCAAACAGG
rnacentral:rRNA from 1 species